AAAACACAGAAAUGGGGCUGGAAAUGACUACAUAAAUCCAAUACAUGAUGAUGAUGAUGAUUUAGCAAAUGCUCUCAUCCACUGUGACUUACAACAUCCAGUGCAUUCAACUAAGGUGCAUGCCGUGCUUGCUGAAAAACAAGAGUAGGUGUCGCGUUGACAUCGUCAAACCCUGUCUCAUUUGUGUGGGAUCAUCUGAGGCUCGUCAGGCAUUCACUCCACUGCAUGGUGACAGUGUUAGGGAACAUGAGAGAUUGAGUGAGGACAAGGGAAGAGUAAUCGAUCACCAACCAGGCCCAGACCACAGUGUGAAACCCUGUCAAUACAGGAUGCUCAAACGAGACACAGAGACGAGACACAGAGAGCCGAUCCCUUUUUACUGUCAAGCAGAUAGAUCAACC
rnacentral:lncRNA from 1 species